ACACGUAGGGAGCGAGCGUUGUCCGGAAUUACUGGGUGUAAAGGGUGCGUAGGCGGGGCUGCAAGUUGGAUGUGAAAUACCGGGGCUUAACCCCGGGGCUGCAUCCAAAACUGUAGCUCUUGAGUGAAGUAGAGGCAGGCGGAAUUCCGAGUGUAGCGGUGAAAUGCGUAGAUAUUCGGAGGAACACCAGUGGCGAAGGCGGCCUGCUGGGCUUUUACUGACGCUGAGGCACGAAAGCAUGGGGAGCAAACAGGAUUAGAUACCCUGGUAGUCCAUGCCGUAAACGAUGAUUGCUAGGUGUGGGAGGACUGACCCCUUCCGUGCCGGAGUUAACACAAUAAGCAAUCCACCUGGGGAGUACGGCCGCAAGGCUAAA
rnacentral:rRNA from 1 species